rnacentral:rRNA from 1 species
AGAGUUUGAUCCUGGCUCAGAUUGAACGCUGGCGGCAUGCCUUACACAUGCAAGUCGAACGGCAGCGCGGGGCAACCUGGCGGCGAGUGGCGAACGGGUGAGUAAUAUAUCGGAACGUGCCCUGGAGUGGGGGAUAACGCAGCGAAAGUUGCGCUAAUACCGCAUACGAUCUAAGGAUGAAAGCAGGGGACCGCAAGGCCUUGUGCUCCUGGAGCGGCCGAUAUCUGAUUAGCUAGUUGGUGGGGUAAAGGCCUACCAAGGCAUCGAUCAGUAGCUGGUCUGAGAGGACGACCAGCCACACUGGAACUGAGACACGGUCCAGACUCCUACGGGAGGCAGCAGUGGGGAAUUUUGGACAAUGGGCGAAAGCCUGAUCCAGCAAUGCCGCGUGAGUGAAGAAGGCCUUCGGGUUGUAAAGCUCUUUUGUCAGGGAAGAAACGGUGCGGGCUAAUAUCCUGCACUAAUGACGGUACCUGAAGAAUAAGCACCGGCUAACUACGUGCCAGCAGCCGCGGUAAUACGUAGGGUGCAAGCGUUAAUCGGAAUUACUGGGCGUAAAGCGUGCGCAGGCGGUUUUGUAAGUCUGUCGUGAAAUCCCCGGGCUCAACCUGGGAAUUGCGAUGGAGACUGCAAGGCUAGAAUCUGGCAGAGGGGGGUAGAAUUCCACGUGUAGCAGUGAAAUGCGUAGAGAUGUGGAGGAACACCGAUGGCGAAGGCAGCCCCCUGGGUCAAGAUUGACGCUCAUGCACGAAAGCGUGGGGAGCAAACAGGAUUAGAUACCCUGGUAGUC